rnacentral:rRNA from 1 species
AUGUCGCCGCCCCUCUUCUCCCCGCUCGCCUCGGCCGCCUCCUCUCCUCCGCCGUGUCGUCGGCCCCCUCCCUCCUCCUACCUCCUCCUCCCUCCUCUCAGUCCCGUGCCAGCCGCCGCCCAAACCCUAGCCCCCGUUUCCCUCGAUCCCCACAGUAACCGCAUCCAUAGCCACCCGCUCCUUCUCACAGCCGCCGCACCAUUCCUCCCUUCCGCCCCCUCCUCCUUCCCGGAUCCCCACCACGGCGCCGACCUGCAGGCAAAGGGCGACAAAGAGUGGCAGACGAGGACAACGAGGGAGAGAAAGAAGGGAGAUAAAAAGGAGGCCGGCGGGCGGCGGCGAGGCCCAGCGACUAGCGCCUCUCCGCCUCAAGCCCCGGCAUCACCGCCACCAGAUCCACCUCGCAACCUCUCUUCCUACCCUGUCUGA